rnacentral:lncRNA from 1 species
CCAUCUUCGUCUUUAUCCCAUCUCCAAGCACUAUGCUUCCUUUCUCUCUGCUUCAAAACUUUCUUUAGUUCUCUCUCUCUCAAUUCAUAAGCGAAUCAAUAAUUUUAUCCUAAAUUUAAAAAAAUUCUAAGUUUUUCAAUUAAUUUAUUAUUCUUAACAGAGAUGAUGAAUCUGUCAGUAUGAGUGAUAGCCAAGAUAACCAGAGGCGGAGCAACCAUGGCAGACAAGUAACGGAGCUGAAACAGGUGCAAACAAAGGAACCCAAACAGAGUGGCCGUGUUCGGUUGGUGCUAUCAGAUGGGUCACAUUUACAAUAAGCCAUGUUAGACAAUCAGAUUAAAAAAUCUAAAUAUUAUUGUCAACUUUAUUUUUUUUACUUGUAGCUAAUGUUCUUCUUCUGCUUCAUAUUCUUUGUUUUCAAAUGUCAUGGCUUUUUUUUUUUUUUUUUCCUCUCUUGAAUUAGGGGUUUUGGGGGUCUAAAUUCAAAUGGAUUUUCCAUAAAACAAAUUGAUUUUCUAUUAAUGGUGUUGAUUUUUUUAUUAACCUGUCCAAUGAUUUUUAACAAGAAAUUUUUUUAUUAUUAUUUUUAGAUAUUAACAAUGUGUAAUAGUUUCCUGCCCUUAUAGACUCAAACUUUCUAACUUGGAAUUUUGAUUCUUAGCUAUAAAUAAUUAGUAAUUGAUUGGAAAAAUUUUUAAAUUUCUAAGUGGAGUUUAAUUUAAUUGAAAAUUUGUUUGUGGGUAAUUACUGCCAGGAAAUGAUUUGGAGCUAAGAUUGUGAUGCAGUUGCCAAAGGAGAUGUUUAAGAAACCCAAAUUGAGGAAUAAUAUUUGAAGGUCUGAUACUGGCGAUAGUAGUGGUGAUUCGUAAAAACCAGCAUUCUCAAAGAGAAAUAUCGACAUCUACGGCUCAUGAAUAGAAAACAAGCAUCCAAAAAUGAAGGAUUUGACAUGUAGUUUUAUGUUUUUACGUUCACUUAAUGAAGGAAAGAGAGAAAAUUGGGUGGUGAAGUUAACAAGAAUUUAUGUUGUGGUAGAGUCCGCGUCAGACACUUCUUUUAUAAUGUUUGGUGGGUCUCAUAAUAGUCUUUUAUAACUAAAAUACAUAUUGUGGUAGAGUCCACAUCAGACACUUCUUUACCAUCACUCUCUUUAUAACGCGUGCAUUUCAAUUUGCAUUUUCAAACAUGGCAAGCUAUGCAAUUAUUAUAAAAAGUAAAAUUCAAGGAGUCACAGUGCG